rnacentral:rRNA from 1 species
GUGUCAGCCGCCGCGGUAAUACGAAGGGGGCUAGCGUUGCUCGGAAUUACUGGGCGUAAAGGGCGCGUAGGCGGGUCGUUUAGUUAGAGGUGAAAGCCCAGGGCUCAACCCUGGAAUUGCCUUUAAUACUGGCGGCCUUGAGUAUGGCAGAGGUGUGUGGAACUCCGAGUGUAGAGGUGAAAUUCGUAGAUAUUCGGAAGAACACCAGUGGCGAAGGCGACACACUGGGCCAUUACUGACGCUGAGGCGCGAAAGCGUGGGGAGCAAACAGGAUUAGAAACCCCCGUAGUCC